GUUUGGAAAAGCAGACAAUUCUUUGAUAUUUAGAUAAUAGGAGAAGAACCUCAACUAAAGCCCUAAUAUGGCAGCUCAUCACCUUUUGGAAAGGACUGGAUUCUCAGAGAUUGUGUCUGAACAGCACAAGAGUUGACUGGUUCUAUUAAGUGGUUCUCCCUUCCAACUAUCUACAAAACCCUGCCAGCCUCAUGCUGCUGUUCCUUUAUUUCUUUAUGAAAACCUGUCCUCAAGACUCUCCAUUGAUAGAAACUCGGAGUGUUCUCCUUUCCAAGGGCAUUUUUCGUUUAAGGGCUGUCAAAACUCUAAGCAAAAGUGCCUCCAGGCAUUCAUGUGAACAACUCCUGCAUGUAUGAAACAUAUUUUUCAUUUCCAUCUAUCAAAAUCCUCUUCCUUCUUCAAGGCCAGGGUUUCCAAGACUAAAGAAUGCAUCAGUGAUUGUCCAGCUGCUCCAUUCUGUGAGAUUGCUCUUGAGAAAGCAGAGAUUAUAUUUUGCUCAAAUCCUGUUGUGUAUGAGUGGCAAAGAACUAGAAAUUGAGAAGAUGCUCAUUCAUUGGGGAAUGGCUAAACAAGUUGUGGCAUAUGAAUGUGAUGGAAUACUAUUAUGCUAUAGAAAUGAUGAGCAAGAUACUGUCAGAAAAACCUUGAAAGAUUUACAUGAAGUGAUGCAAAUGAAGUAAGCAGAACCAGGAGAACAUUGUAUACUACUGUAUGAUUGUCAACUGUGAAUGACUUAGCUAUGCUUAACAACACAACGAUCUAAGACAAUUCUGAAGAAUUUAUGAUGAAAAAUGCUAUCCCUCUCCAGAGAAAGAACUGAUGGGAUAUGAAUGUAGAGCAAAUCAAACUUUUUUUUAAAACUUUGUUUAUUUUUCUUGUUUUGUUUUUUUUUUUUGCCUGUGUUCUCUUUUCCAACAUGACUAAUAUGGAAAUAUGUUUUGCAUGAAUUUACAUGUGUAAUCAGUAUCAAAAUGUUUGCCUUCUGGAGAGUGGAGAGGAGGGAGGGAAUUUGGAACUAAAAAAUUAUAAAAGCAAAUGUUAGAAAUUAUUUUUAUGCGUAAUUGAGG
rnacentral:lncRNA from 1 species